rnacentral:rRNA from 1 species
CGGACUCCGUAGUGACCUGCGGAGGGACAUUACCGAGAGAGGGCGCCUCGCGCGCCCGACCUCCCAACCCUUUGUCGACCGUACUGCGUUGCCUCUGGGUGCCGGCGCCCGCGUCGCCCCAAGAGGACCCAACCGAAACCCUGCGUCUUUGCGUCGGAGUCACUUUGAUAAAUCAAUCAAAACUUUCAACAACGGAUCUCUUGGUUCUGGCAUCGAUGAAGAACGCAGCGAAAUGCGAUAAGUAAUGUGAAUUGCAGAAUUCAGUGAAUCAUCGAAUCUUUGAACGCACAUUGCGCCCCCUGGCAUUCCGGGGGGCAUGCCUGUUCGAGCGUCAUUACACCAAUCAAGCCUGGCUUGGUAUUGGGCGACGGGGCCGUCACACGCCGCGCGCCCCGAAGACUCCCCCGGCGGGACGGACUGUAUCUCAGCGUUGUGCAAAUGUCGCUGGCGAUUUACGGGACGGCCGUGCCGUAAAACCCCCCUUUCUCAAAGGUUGACCUCGGAUCAGGUAGGGAUACCCGCUGAACUUAAGCAUAUCAAAAGGGGCGGA